GGCUGGCCCAAAGGUAGUGAGUUAUCUCACUUGAUUGUUCACAAGUCAGUUACAGACUGAACUCUUUAUUCAAUUCUUUCUCCCUUCUCACUACUGAAUUUAACUAGUCAAAU
ensembl:misc_RNA Y_RNA Y RNA